GAUGAACGCUGGCGGCGUGCCUAAUACAUGCAAGUCGAGCGAACAGACGAGGAGCUUGCUCCUCUGACGUUAGCGGCGGACGGGUGAGUAACACGUGGAUAACCUACCUAUAAGACUGGGAUAACUUCGGGAAACCGGAGCUAAUACCGGAUAAUAUAUUGAACCGCAUGGUUCAAUAGUGAAAGACGGUUUUGCUGUCACUUAUAGAUGGAUCCGCGCCGCAUUAGCUAGUUGGUAAGGUAACGGCUUACCAAGGCAACGAUGCGUAGCCGACCUGAGAGGCUGAUCGGCCACACUGGAACUGAGACACGGUCCAGACUCCUACGGGAGGCAGCAGUAGGGAAUCUUCCGCAAUGGGCGAAAGCCUGACGGAGCAACGCCGCGUGAGUUAUGAAGGUCUUCGGAUCGUAAAACUCUGUUAUUAGGGAAGAACAAAUGUGUAAGUAACUAUGCACGUCUUGACGGUACCUAAUCAGAAAGCCACGGCUAACUACGUG
rnacentral:rRNA from 1 species